UACGGAGGUGGCAAGCGUUGUUCGGAAUUACUGGGCGUAAAGGGCGCGUAGGCGGCCAGCGCAAGUCAGUUGUGAAAUCUCCGGGCUUAACUCGGAACGGUCAACUGAUACUGCGCGGCUAGAGUGCAGAAGGGGCAACUGGAAUUCUCGGUGUAGCGGUGAAAUGCGUAGAUAUCGAGAGGAACACCUGCGGCGAAGGCGGGUUGCUGGGCUGAUACUGACGCUGAGGCGCGAAAGCCAGGGGAGCGAACGGGG
rnacentral:rRNA from 1 species